rnacentral:rRNA from 9 species
UUUAAUUGAAGAGUUUGAUCAUGGCUCAGAUUGAACGCUGGCGGCAGGCCUAACACAUGCAAGUC